AUUGAACUCAGGGGCUCCUGAUCGCUGAGUUACAUCCCCAGCUCUAUUUUGUAUUAAGAGACAUGAUGUCACUGAGUUGCUAAGCACCUCGCCAUUGCUGAGGCUGGCUUUGAACUCAUGAUCCUCCUGUCUUAGUCUCCGAAGCCACUGGCAUUACAGGUGUGCGCCACCAUGCCUGGCUCAUUGUUUGCUUUUAAUGUAGAAAAUAUUACAAUACUUUUGCACAACAUUACUGAUAGAGUAGGAAAUCGGUGUGAGUGGGAAAAAAUGGAUAGAAUUGGCUAGAAGACUUGUGUCCUUAAGAAGAAAGGGGCUGCGGAUGUGAAGGCAUUGGCUUUAGAUAAGAGUAUACAUAGCUGCCUUUGGGAAAGGCCUGGAAGACUGUGUGAAGACAGUGGCUGAGCCAGACCAUGCAAGAGUGCCAAUAAUUCACCAGGAGAGAGAGUUGAGAUAAUUAUCUGUGCUUAAUUUUUCCAACUUCAGCUAGGCACAAUACACCAGUAAAAAUGAUUUGGAUUCUCAGUCUGUGUUCCUGGGCAAUUUACAUAAAUGUUUUUGGCAGAGUCUCGCUUAGUGUAUUUUAUUUUCCACUGAGUGCUCAUCAUAUAGACCCCUGCCUGGCAAACAGUAGUUGCUUAAUAAAUAUUAUAUGGAUUAAUUUUAGAACUGAAUCAACUGUACUGUAUAUGCCAAAACUACCCUACAAGUUUUUUUUUGUUUUGGUACACUGGGUUGAACUCAGGGGUGCUUAACUACUUAAGCCCUUUUUAUAUUUUACUUAGAGACAGGAUAUGGCUAUAUUGCUGAGAC
rnacentral:lncRNA from 1 species